rnacentral:rRNA from 1 species
GAUGAACGCUCGCGGCGUGCCUAAGGUAUGCAAGUCGAACGCCGACCUUCGGGUCGUGCGUGGCGAACGGGUGAGUAACGCGUGGGAACGUACCGCCGAGAUGGGGACAACUCCGCGAAAGCGGAGCUAAUACCCAAUGGUCCCGGGUCGUACCUCACUGCGUUCGGUACGGAUACGAUGGACAUUCGUAUUCCCGCGCCGAGCGUAGCGAGGUGCGACUUGGGUAAAGGAGCAAUCCGCUCGGUGAGCGGCCCGCGUCCUAUCAGCUUGUUGGUGGGGUAAUGGCCUACCAAGGCGAUGACGGGUAGGGGGUGUGAGAGCAUGAUCCCCCACAAUGGCACUGAGACAAGGGCCAUACACCUACGGGUGGCAGCAAUCAGGAAUCUUGCGCAAUGGGCGAAAGCCUGACGCAGCGACGCCGCGUGGAGGAUGAAGGUCGAGAGAUUGUAAACUCCUAGCCUUGUGCGUAGCACAAGGGGUUCGUAUAUCGUUAGUCGGUUACGAAGCCCGUAUCGUAAGGCGGUUACGGUUACGUGNAAAAACACGUAACCCAAUCACGUGACCGAAACGGGCAUCGUUACCGUAACCGGCAGACGUUUCACGAAUCUCUCGUGUUACGCGCGAGGGGAUAAAGUCCCGGCUAACUACGUGCCAGCAGCAGCGGUAAAACGUANGGGGCGAGCGCUAUCCGGAUUUAUUGGGCGUAAAGAGUGNNCAGGCNGCCAGNNNNGUUUUUCGUUAAAGCCCCCCGCUCAACGGGGGAACUGCGGAGAAUACUGUUUGGCUGGAGGAAGGUAGAGGCUGUCGGAACUCGGGGAGGAGGGGUGAAAUCCUAUGAUCCCCCAAGGAACACCAAAGGCGAAGGCAGACAGCUGGGCCUUUCCUGACGCUGAGGCACGAAAGCUAGGGGAGCGAAACGGAUUAGAUACCCGUGUAGUCCUAGCCGUAAACGAUCCCCGCUAGAUUUUGGCAUCUGUCAGAGUCGAAGCUAACGCAUUAAGCGGGGCGCCUGGGAAGUACGGCCGCAAGGCUAAAACUCAAAGGAAUUGACGGGGACCCGCACAAGCGGUGGAGCGCCUGGUUUAAUUCGAUGAUAACCGAAGAACCUUACCAGGGCUUGACAUCCCGACAGAAAUCCCGACGAAAGUUGGGCCCCCCGCAAGGGCUGUCGGGACAGGUGUUGCAUGGCUGUCGUCAGCUCGUGCCGUGAGGUGUAUGCUUAAGUGCCGAAACGAGCGCAACCCCUACCCCAUGUUAGAAAUGUCGUGGGGGACUGCCUCCGUAAGGGGGAGGAAGGUGGGGACGACGUCAAGUCAGUAUGGCCCUUAUGCCCUGGGCAACACAGACGCUACAAUGGCGGCUACAACGGGUUGCAAUGUCGUAAGGCGGAGCUAAUCCUAAAAAGCCGUCUCAGUUCGGAUUGGGGGCUGAAACCCGCCCCCAUGAAGUUGGAAUCGCUAGUAAUGGCCGGUCAGCUAUACGGCCGUGAAUACGUUCUCGGGUCUUGUACACACCGCCCGUCAACUGGGGAAAGUUGGAGCCAGCCGAAGUCCGACGUUACGUCGGACCAAGCUGGAACCAGUAAUCAACAGU